GAACUUGAGAGUUUGAUCCUGGCUCAGAACGAACGCUGGCGGCAUGCCUAACACAUGCAAGUCGAACGAGACCUUCGGGUCUAGUGGCGCACGGGUGCGUAACACGUGGGAAUCUGCCCAAAGGUACGGAAUAACUCAGGGAAACUUGAGCUAAUACCGUAUGAUGCCGAAAGGCCAAAGAUUUAUCGCCUUUGGAUGA
rnacentral:rRNA from 1 species